rnacentral:rRNA from 1 species
AACGAACGCUGGCGGCGUGCCUAACACAUGCAAGUCGAACGAGAAAGGGGCUUCGGCUCCGAGUAAAGUGGCGCACGGGUGAGUAACACGUGGGUAACCUGCCUCUAAGAUUGGGAUAACGCGUCGAAAGAUGAGCAAAUACCGAAUAAGACCACAGUUCCCGCGGGAACAGGGGUGAAAGGUAGCCUCUGCUUGCAAGCUAUCACUUCGAGCUGGGCCUGCGCACCAUUAGCUAGUUGGUAGGGUAACGGCCUACCAAGGCAAAGAUGGUUAGCUGGUCUGAGAAGAUGAUCAGCCACACUGGAACUGAGACAAGGUCCAGACUCCUACGGGAUGGAGCAGUGGGGAAUAUUGCGCGAAGGGCGAAAGUUGGAAGCAGCAACGCCGGGUGAGAGAUGAAGGCCAUCGGGUCGUAAAGCUCUGUCGGGAGGAACGAAUGGUCCUGAGGUUAACCGCCUCGGGAGGUGACGGUACCUUCAAAGAAAGCACCGGCUAACUCUGUG